UUGGACGGUCUUGACUACAACACUGUGUGAUAGACUCACACAUACAUAUGUUACAUUUAAUACCUCACCUCUGCAGGAUGCUGGACUACAUGCAGACAGGUGGAGACCUCCAGGGGUUGUGUUGGAAGAAACGGACAGAGACACACCUUCUGAGGGCGACUGCAUGGGAGGAAAGUUGAAGACUGUGAUUGCCCAGAUACUUCUCAGCCUAACCUCAUCUCACUGUCUCAGUUGAGCUUGAGCUUUUCUGUAACGAUAUAAAUCUGCCCCCCCAGUAAAGCAUGCCAGUGACUUGAUGAGGAGGAGGAGGAGAAGAAGAAGAAGAGAGAGAGAGAGAGAGAGAGACAGUGACAGUCCAACCACUCUAACUUGUGUUAGCUAGCAUUAGCUUCACUUUAAUUGAGCUCACCGGCACCGUAAACACGUCGGUCUUCUCUCGCCAACCUCGACCGGGAGGGCAGCCAGGUCGCCGAAAGCGUCGACUAAGCCAUCUUCUACUGAGGAGCCGUCGGAGGUUUCUGUCCCGUUUUCUUCAGAAGUCACCGGCGAACAAAAACUGGGGACAUUGUCCAUCGCGGAGUUAGCAAAAAGCUAACUCGUCCAAGUCAAACGCAGCGCCUGCGAAGGACCUCUGGCGUAGAAAUAGACCAACUAGAAACACCGAGAACCGGGGGGACAGCAGGACUUCCUGGAGCCUGGCCAUCAAUCAUGGUGAACGCCUCAAAGUAGUCCGCAUUGGCACGGGCUCCUCUGCCUGGAGGUCUGGCCACUGGAGCCCCUGGUGGAUCCAUUACAUUUGGACCUGUUGCAGGAACAGACCCAGGUGUCGCAGGCCGUCCUGCAACCAGAGAGCUAAGAUCCACAGCGUGGUUUCCAGCUUCGGCUGCCCAUGGCGUGGUGCAGCGACUAGGGGUCGUCUCCCAUGCGAUCCCGCUGUCCUCGCCUUGCAUAGUUACCAUGGAGAAGGAAGAGUCCAUCAUGAGGCACUGCAUCUUAGGCCGGACGUUGUCAUCGUGGACAGCCUCACGUAAACUGACGGCACAGUGACAGAGAAACAAUAUGGCAAUAAGAUAAAACUGCUGUGUUUGUAGGCACAACAAUCUGGUCAAGCUAAGCUAAUCAAGUCAGCCAAAGAGGACGAGAGUCGAAUAACAGAAUUAUAUUUUAAGAGAAAUUGAGUAUAUUAGAAAAUAUUUUGUGAAGACUUUUGUAAAAUGGUCAUGUAGUAGUUUAUUCUCUGUGCAAAACAAUAUAAAAAUCUUACAUGUUAUAUUACAUAAUGUAAUAUGUGUAAGAAAUAUAUGUACUUUAUGAUUUUGUUUUUCUCGAAACCCUGAUAUUCACAACUGUUCACACACUCAGUUGCCAGUUUAUUAAUGGCAUCUAGAUGGGAGUUCCCCGGACCUCACUUUGACAAAAUGUUAGAAAAGUAUAAUGUAAAAUUCAGGGGAUGCGAGGAUUUAUUGCAGAACUGUUGUGUUGCAAAUUGCUUGGUGAACCUAAUAAACUGACAACUGAGUGUCUAUACAUGCACUCAAACAUAUAAACACACACACACAAAGAUUAGUUUCACUAAAGGACUGUCCUUCAUUAAUUCACCAUUUCAUAUGUAAAUGGGUCCAAUUUAUUAUUGUACAAUAAACUGUUGCCUCUGGGA